rnacentral:rRNA from 1 species
UACGUAGGGGGCAAGCGUUGUCCGGAAUUAUUGGGCGUAAAGAGCGCGUAGGCGGUCCGAUAAGUCGGCUGUGAAAGUCCGGGGCUCAACCUCGGAUCGGCCGUGGCGACUCGUGGGCUGGAGCACUGUAGAGGCGGGUGGAAUUCCGGGUGUAGCGGUGGAAUGCGUAGAGAUCCGGAAGAACACCGGUGGCGAAGGCGAUCACCUGGGGUUGUUCUGACGCUGAGGAGCGAAAGCUAGGGGAGCAAACGGG